rnacentral:rRNA from 1 species
AAUAUUGGACAAUGGGCGCAAGCCUGAUCCAGCAACGCCGCGUGGAGGACGAAGGUCUUCGGAUCGUAAACUCCUGUCAGGCGGGACGAAGGCUUCCGUGCGAACAGUGCGGAAGCUUGACGGUACUGCCAGAGGAAGCACCGGCUAACUCCGUGCCAGCAGCCGCGGUAAUACGGAGGGGGCUAGCGUUAUUCGGAAUUAUUGGGCGUAAAGGGCGCGUAGGCGGCCCGGUAAGUCAAAGGUGAAAUCCCUCGGCUCAACUGAGGAACUGCCUUUGAAACUGUCGGGCUUGAGGCCGGGAGGGGGUAGCGGAAUUCCCAGUGUAGCGGUGAAAUGCGUAGAUAUCUGGAGGAACACCGGUGGCGAAGGCGACAUCCUGGACCGGCAUUGACGCUGAGGCGCGAAAGCCAGGGGAGCAAAC